GAGGGUGUAGCUCAGUGGUAGAGUACGUGUUUAGCAUGCACGAGGUCCUAGGCUCAAUCCCCAGUACCUUCA
rfam:Camelus ferus unplaced genomic scaffold scaffold310, whole genome shotgun sequence.